AUUUGUAACGAUUCAGUGAAUGGAUGGUUCAAAAACGUUUACCGCUUACGACCACGGAUAAUCCGCAUAAAAUAGAUCGAGAAGUAGCUAAAAUGUAAUUUGCAUCUAAAGCCUUGGAGGCCCAAACCACACUUCAGCAGGACCACGUCACUCCGCCCCUCGGUCAACAUUAGACCUGCUCUAAAGUGCGACAGGUGCGUGGAGAGAUCAGCACCUUUACAGCUGCGGGAAAAGGAGAGGGGGCAUGAUUUUUGUCGACUAUAAAAACCCGUCACUGGCCAGUCUGAUUCAUAGGACCUGCAGGUACGGAACUGAGCAUGUCUACUGAGGCCUUCCAUCAACCUGGAUAUGAAACUACAGAGGUGAUCAAGACAGGUAAUGGGCAGGGAACACACACCUGAAAAAUCAGAUGAAUAAAAAGCUUCGGAUUCAAUUUUUUGACUGUAUUUUCUACAGUAAUUUUGGAGUUUAUCAGAGUGCGCCUCCAGAACUUCGAUGGAAAAAACUAAAACUACACUUGCUUUACGUUGAGCCACACGCACAAUACAUGUGGAUUCAGUUUUGUUCGUUCGGCUCGCGUUAAGCAAGUGCAGAACUUCUUCGGUGCCAAACGUCUGUGACAUAUUUAGAUUAGAAGCUUAUAACUGCUAUGCUCUUUUCUUUGGAAUUGUUUUUUAAAUGGAAGAUAAUCCAAUGAGUCCAAACCACAUAAAUGCGAUGUGAGAGAUUCGCAGACAAAUUAAUGAGCCACAACUGAUAAUUUUUCUUCUGUAAUGGUCAUGAUUUACAAUGUCACCUGUUAUCCAACAUCAUGUUUGUUGAGUUAUCCACUUCCUCUCUUCUGUGCGGGUUUUAAAUGAGGGCAAAGUUCUCACAUAUGUUGCAGUGAUGUAAUGGCAAAAUAAAGUUCUUCUUUACUCCUCAA